GUGCUCGCUUUGGCAGCGCAUAUACUAAAAUUGGAACGAUACAGAGAAGAUUAGCAUGGCCCCUGCACAAGGAUGACACACAAAUUCGUGAAGCGUUCCAUAUUUUU
rnacentral:snRNA from 1 species